CCUUUCUCGCGGUCGGAGCCUUCGUCGCCGGCAUUCUUGACGUUGACCAUCGCCUCAAGGUUGCAGUGCGUGGCGAUUUCAUGCUCCAGAUCAAUGGAGUUAUCCAGGGAACAACAUGGCCCUGAUGACGAAACAGCAGAGGAUCCCGGAAGAGUCCUUCCAGGACUUCAUGAAGGCUUAGCAGAGAAGGCUUGGAAAAUGUUUUGGACUGCAGGGGAAUUAAUUCUUUGUAGGGGAAUUUGUUUUGUGACAACAGUCCUGCAAUGUUUUACACAGACUUUGCAAACAACUCAAUCAAUAUACUUCCCAGUUUUCCUUAACUGUCAUCAUAUUACUAUCUUAAGUAGACUAUAUUUAUUCCUUACCAGAUACCAACAUCAUAAUCUACUGUUUUACUUGCAUUUAGAUUAGAUUAAAACAUUUGUUCAAUCUGUUCUCAAUGUUAUCUAUCUCCUUCUUUAUCAUCAAAAUAUAAUUUAAAGUUUAGUUAAAUUUUUAAAAAUUGGGCAUAGAGUUGGGUAAAACCUGAGAAUGCUGCUUUGUCUCCCCCUGCAGGUUAGCUGAGGUUGCUAGCUCACGUUGCAUCACGUCCAACAGCCCACUGAGUACACGUCCGCCGAGUCAUUGUCGUGACGUCAAACUAACGUAAAAUUAACGGGGGUCGGCUUCAUUCAAAAAACAAACAAAGAACAAAAACAUUUCCAGUUACUAGUUAACGUUUGGGUCGCAAAGGCGGGUUGUGUUCUUGUUUGCUCACGGUGUACGUCGACGGUAAGUGAACGUUGAUCAUGACCGCGGUCGUCAUGUCCAAGCUAGGUAGCUGCUCCUGUCGUGACGUCACGCGCCAGCUGUGUGCUUACUUCCGCGUUUAAUACACAGCGUGAGGCACUGUGAUACAGAGUACGGGGUGGAUGACAUCAUUGUUCACUUUCUUGAAUUUACUGCGCAGUAAUAAAAGGAUUUCUUUCUUUGCUCUCUAUCUGUCCAUCUAUCUACAGUAUGUCUUUCUUUUCUGUUUUCUCUCUUCUUCCUCCUCUACCCAGCUACCAACCAACCAACAUUCAUACUCGUGCUAUACUUUUCUGACAAAGAGGCACCCCAAUUACUUGGCAAGAGACAAAUUGAUAAUGUGAAUCACUCAAAGGUGUUCUCCACAAUAACAAUUCGGUACUGGUCAAUGACAACAGCUCGAGAAAGGCGGGACGUUCGUACAAUACUUCGAGCUGAUUGGGCGAUGCCACAACCUGCGCACUCCUCCCUAGUUUUAUUUAUUUUUUGACCAAUCACUGCAAUGGAUGAAAAUGUCCACGCGUUGAGCAAACAGAAAUAUCAAACUCUUCUCAGCUCCAGUAGGUAAAGAAACACAAAUAUCUUUUUCAGCUAAAAUGCUCAAAGUGCCCCUUGCUGUUCUUGUAAAAAUGAAAUUGGGGAAUUCUGCGAGAACAGAAUUAAUUGCAGCGUCCAUGCGUUGGUCCACCGGUCUCGCCACGUUUGGUUUGUUUGUUUACCCCCAGACUCUGCACUUGUUGUUUUUGUCACACCCGCAUAUCACGCCCCCAAACACACGGUGGCGCGGCUCGGGAUAAAAUGGAUUCUCGGUGUUUCCUGAACUCACAAAUACCGCGAGAAUUCAAGUUUGCUGGCAAGGUUAACGAUUCAAUAACAUCCACCUCGAAUCAUGUGUAACACAAAGAAUUAUUAUAGUAUUACGAUUACAGCUGACAUCCUGACAAUUAAAUACAGAAUUAAUGCACA